UAUGGGCGGAGCCUGAUGCAGCACGCCGCGUGAGGGAUGACGGCCUUCGGGUUGUAAACCUCUUUCACCAUUGACGAAGUCUGCUCUUUUGGGGUGGGUGACGGUAGGUGGGGAAGAAGCGCCGGCCAACUACGUGCCAGCAGCCGCGGUAACACGUAGGGCGCGAGCGUUGUCCGGAAUUAUUGGGCGUAAAGGGCUCGUAGGCGGUUUGUUGCGUCGAGAGUGAAAUCCCAUGGCUUAACUGUGGGUCUGCUUUUGAUACGGGCAGGCUAGAGGUAGGUAGGGGAGAGUGGAAUCCCAGGUGUAGCGGUGGAAUGCGCAGAUAUCUGGGGGAACACCGGUGGCGAAGGCGGCUCUCUGGGCCUUACCUGACGCUGAUGAGCGAAAGCGUGGGGAGCGAACAGGAUUAGAUACCCUGGUAGUCCACGCUGUAAACGUUGGGCGCUAGGUGUGGGGGAUUUUCCACGUUUCCCGUGCCGCAGCUAACGCAUUAAGCGCCCCGCCUGGGGAGUACGGCCGCAAGGCUAAAACUCAAAGGAAUUGACGGGGGCCCGCACAAGCGGCGGAGCAUGUUGCUUAAUUCGAGGCGACGCGAAGAACCUUACCUGGGUUUGACAUGUGUGGUAAUCCGGCGGAGAUGCCGGGUCCGUAAGGGCUGCGCACAGGUGGUGCAUGGCUGUCGUCAGCUCGUGUCGUGAGAUGUUGGGUUAAGUCCCGCAACGAGCGCAACCCUCGUCCUAUGUUGCCAGCACGUGGUGGUGGGAACUCAUAGGAGACUGCCGGGGUCAACUCGGAGGAAGGUGGGGAUGAGUCAAGUCAUCAUGCCCUUAUGUCCAGGGCUGCAACAUGCUACAUGUCGUACAAAGGGUGCGAGACCGUGAGGGGAGCGAUCCAAAAGCGCUCAGUCGAUCGGGAUCUGCACUCGACCCGGGAGUGGAGUCCUAGUAUCGCGGAUCAGCCACGCCCGGGUGAACGUCCCGGCCUUGUACAAA
rnacentral:rRNA from 1 species